rnacentral:rRNA from 1 species
AACGAACGCUGGCGGCAUGCCUAACACAUGCAAGUCGAACGCUCCGCAAGGGGAGUGGCGAACGGGUGAGUAACGCGUGGGAACCUGCCCAGUAGUUGGGGAUAACCGCGGGAAACUGCGGCUAAUACCGAAUACGCCCUAAGGGGAAAGAUUUAUCGCUAUUGGAGGGCCCGCGUCGGAUUAGCUGGUUGGUGAGGUAACGGCUCACCAAGGCGACGAUCCGUAGCUGGUCUGAGAGGAUGAUCAGCCACACUGGGACUUAGACACGGCCCAGACUCCUACGGGAGGCAGCAGUGGGGAAUAUUGGACAAUAGGGGCAACCCUGAUCCAGCAAUGCCGCGUGAGUGAUGAAGGCCUUAGGGUUGUAAAGCUC